rfam:Dipodomys ordii contig_13058, whole genome shotgun sequence.
GGUGGCUCAGUGGUAGAGUGCUUGCUUUACAGGCAUGAGGCCCUGGGUUCGAUUCCUCAGCACCA